rnacentral:tRNA from 1 species
UUAGCUCAGUGGUUAGAGCAGGCGACUCAUAAUCGUCCGGUCGCUGGUUCAAGUCCAGCA